rnacentral:lncRNA from 1 species
CGCGCACUAUACAAAAUUUCAAAGUUUAACAGAAUCUCAAUGUUGUUGAACCGCUAAUAACAAACAGGCUAUUCAACAUAAACUGGACAAUACUACCAAUAUUCAGAACUAAUGAAGCUCCCUAUUGGUCGUGUAUCAGAUGCCAAAAUAUGACACUAAUUGAUUCCGAUCAUCAAAGCUUAAGACAAGCUAAUUUUGCUUCUUUAUAAAACAGGAACGUCAUUAUACAGCAAAGCUCAUGCAGAAUUUCAGCUUUUACAUACACCCCAAUAAGAUUCAAGAGAGAAUGACAACACAAGGAACCCAAACAUUAGCACUAGAUUGCAAUGCAAAGAUAGAAGCUGCAGUAGUAGAAGUAAUUGAGAUUCAAUUCAGCAUCCAUUGUACGCACAAACUAUGAACAAAAAUAGCAAAAACGCAGCUUAAAAAGGAAUAUUUACCUCGUAUUCAUCAGUGACCUUGAGAAUCAAUUUACCAUCAGAAUGUCAGAAAAUUCUUUCGAUUAAAUCUGUUUGAAAUGAUUACAAGCAUAAGAAGACUCGGAGACACAAAAACAACUGCUGAAAAUCGAGAUUCAACAGGAACCGCGACCAAGAACUCAAUAACGGACCUCGAAUCGGCAUCGACGGACUGAACUUUACUGGAAAACCAUAUGAAUUAACAAAAUUCCCAUGAAAUCGGGAAAUUCACGUUUGUUUCUAUCUUUGUUUUCAUUUUUUGAAGGGUUAUGUUUCCAAAUCCAGAAUACAAUUCAAAUCCACUUCGGCUCUCUUCGACAGUGAGUGAAGGACGUAUGAGACCGAGAGUCUGUGAAGGUGAAUCUUCGGUGUGUGACUGUGUGUGUGUUCUUUGUUGGUUUUCGGCUGAUUUAGUUCCUGGGGUUCUUUAUUUUGUCUAAGUUUCUGAGAGGAAGGUCAAAUUUAUGUUGCUUCUCGUUUAUUUGUCAAGAAAAUCAGAAACAGAUGAGGAAGGGUCCUUUUCUAGUGAAAAUCCGCUGUUCUUUUGAAGGAGAAGAGAAGAAAUGAUCGAAAAGGGGGGUCUUAUUGUAGAAAAGUUGCGCUCCAGAUUUCUGAUUUUUCAGUCCUUCUGAUUUUCAUGCAUGUAUGGCUGAUUUCCGGCUGGAUGUCGGUUCUGUGAAGGUGGCAUGGCUUGUGUUGGUUUGAUGUUGCUGAAGGUUUCCGUUGAAGGGUGUUCUAAAGAGGUUCAGAAGAAGAAGACUUGAAAGGGGGGGUGAAGAGGACGAUGGUUCAGGGGGGUGGGUCCUGAUGUAAAGCUGCGCUCCUCCUCCUUCGUGUAUAUAUCAGGCAUUAUAUUUUUGUCCCCCUGUGUAUUGCAGCUCCUUAGGGUCUUAUAGGUCUAGAGUCUAGGUUUACAUUUUGUGUAUUUUGCCAGUUAGUCCCUAGGUCUUUUUGUGUUAAGUCCUUAGGGUCUUUUUAUUUAUUUUUUGUUCCAAAGAAGAGUCUAGAAGGGUCCCUAGGGUUGGCUUAAUGGGUAUUGGGUAUUGGGCCAAGAAUUGGACUCUAAAACUUUUAAAAUUGUGGUCUACCACCUUAAU